rnacentral:tRNA from 1 species
CAUGUUAGUAUAAAAGAGUAUGUUAAGUUUAGGUCUUAUUGGUGUUAGUGACUGA